rnacentral:tRNA from 1 species
GCCCGGAUGGAGAAAUGGGUAGACUCAACGGACUUAAAAUCCGUCACGCGGUAUCGCGUAUGCCGGUUCGAGUCCGGCUCCGGGCACCA